AUGAAGUCAAUAUCUGACUGUAGAAGAAAUUCAUUUCCGGAUACUGUUGUGAUCUGGAAAAAAAUCGACAGGUCCUUGAAGGUGGAGGAAGGAAGAUGGAAGCUCCAGACACCAUGCAUAAGAGAUUGACUUCCAGUACACGUGGAGAGAUUACCAAAAAUGCAAAAGAUGAUGAGUGCCAUGGGCUCCUCUUUCUUUGGUGCAUCACCCUUCAAACUGAAGACUAAAUCCUAUGUGUAAUUCCAUGUUUGAGGGACUGAGAGGACAUGUUCACAAUAGAACGUUCCCCGAACUAUCAACAACAGAUUAAGCAUCCAUAAAGGAUGAGGCACACUGUUAGAAGCUAGGCAGACAUAAACCCCACCCGCAAGAGCUCACAAUCUGUUUGGAUAAGUAGGACAUAUGCACAUAAAGAUAAAUAACAACAGAAAAUAGCUUUUACUAAGUCUCAAUGUGAGUGGCAUAGACAAUGCUCAUGUCAAGAUUUCAUAGGAAGGAAUAAUUACUGCAGUCACAUUUACAUCAUGGAAUUAUGUGUAAACUGUUGUUCAUGAUAUGUUAUUCUUUAAAUGUUGAUUGUAUCAGAACUUUAGUAUAUUAAGGAUAUGGAUACUACCACUUGGUAUGCAAAGUGCUAUCAGCUUUAAUGAUCUCAAAGCACAUAAUAAACAUUUUCCAAAUGUGGCUUCCCUCCACUAUCAUAAAGUAAUUUGCAAAUGAAGAAAAUGAAGCAAAUGAGAAAAGUGAGAAUGGCAUCCUAUCAAAUUGGUAUCAUUUAGAAUAAGAGAAUUAAAAGAUUACAAAGAUCUCAAUGUCUAGUUCACUAGUCCUCAGCAAACAGUCCUAUACUGUUAAGACUCUAUGUGUGUAUAUGGCCAAAGGGCAAUAAUGAUUUGGUUUGAGUUGUGAAAUAUGGAAUAGUGACUUUAUAUAAAAUUGUUUUCAAAUUGUUAUGCUACAGAUAGAACAGUUUAAAAAAACAUAUACCACCCCGAUUGCUCUUCUUCUGCCUCUUCCAUUCCUCCCUCCCCCUUUCUCUUUCUUCCCUUUCCUUUCUUUUCUCUUCAUUCCCAAUACACCUAAUCUCCUACAAUGAAAAAGCACAUUUAAAGCAGAGCUGAAAUAUAAUAACUUCUAAUCCUAGAAAGGCCUAAAACAGUCCUACAUUUAAACCAAUAUCUUUCACAUUUUCCUUAAAAUCAGUCCUUUACUAAGACCCUAAGGAAAAGUUAUUCCUUCUUUUUUUUUGUUGUUUUUUG